rnacentral:rRNA from 1 species
UAGCAUAAUCAUUUGUUUUUUAAUUGAGAACUGGCAUGAAUGGUUUAAUAAAUGAUGUUUUCUUGGAUUUAAUUAAAGAAUUUUUAGUCUAAAUAAAAAUAUUUAGAUAAAAUUAGGGGACGAUAAGACCCUAAAAGCUUUAUUUAAGGUGAAAAACAGAGAAUUUUGUAAUGAGCGUCUUGUGGUACUGAGGAUUUUGCUGGGGUAGUAAUUUUAUAAAAACUAAAGAAAGAGAUUGCACUAAGGAAGUGGGAAUUAGGUCCUUUAUAUUAGGAUAGUUAGUUCUAGUUACUUUAGGGAUAACAGCGUAAUGAUUUUGGAGAGAUCUUAUUGAUAAAAUCGAUUGCGACCUCGAUGUUGAAUUAAAAGAUCUUUGUGAAGUAGAAAGUACGGGAGAAGGUUUGUUCAACCUUUAAAUUUUUACAUGAUUU